GGUGCUGUAGACUAAUGGAUUAGGUGGGCUCCACGGAUGGAGCAGACACGGGUUCGAAUCCCGCUGGCACCC